GGGCAAAGGGAACACAUUUCUCCAAAGCAGUUCAGAGCUCGCCUAAUCUGGUGAGGCGAUCAAACGGGAGCUUAAAAGAUCUCUCUUACAACGAGGGAAAUGAAGUUUUUCUGGCUUGUCCAUCACCCAGGAUCUAGGCUGCUGUUCUCUAAUAGGUAGAUGGACCUUGACGGGGUGCUAAUUACAGGGUUCUAAGGGCAGCUGCGUGAGGGUGUGCAAACACACACGCGCGCACACACACGCAGAUCAUCUCGCGCGCGGGUAUUAAUGCACGUGAGUGGGUGUCCGUGUAAUUAAGAAAGUUGCCUUUCCUCCCACUGCCCUGGAGAGGGAAAAUGAUCACUUUGGAAACCUUGGUCGCUCCUCCUGAGUUGUACUGGGGGUCGGGGCAGGGGACAGGUUUUCCCCAGUCAUCCACUAACUCCUUUUAUUGCCUGACACGAGGACAGGCGGGACAUACAUACAUGACAUCCUCUUCUUCCCUCCCCAAGGAAGAUUGUGUCCCUCCCGAUGCUUCUCUCCCUGGAGAAGGGAGGCUGAGUAUUUCUGAGGCUCUGGAAGUCUGACGGGCAGGUUAGAGACGCGGAGAAGAACCCGGGGCCACGGCGAGCAUUUGCCCACCCCUGCCCCUGGAGUCUACAAAUCCUGAAGGAGACAGCAAUGUAGCUCCCACCCCCUUCUUCGCUCGAACGUGGAAUCCAAACUCUCUGAGGACAGCUGGACAGCUGGUGGACACUUGCUGACAGAUGGACAUUGGAGCUGGCUGCGCGGGCCCGGGGACAGAGGCCAGCACUGGCCAGGGAGUGCUAUUUACCAUCUGUUUUUUCCCUUGGCUGAAAAUAAUUGGAGAUGAACCGCCUGCUGCUCGGGUCCCCUGCGUAGGCUCGGAAGGAACAAUGGGAACAGACAAUGACUGCAUUUUUUUCCCCCAGCAAAACAAGCUCGAAGAAACUCUCCUCCCCGGGUUGCAGAAGCAGCACUAAAUCCAGUGGGUCUCACAUCCCCACAUUUCUUAUCAUCUGCCUCUUCAGAGCCUCGUGCAUCUCGGGCCCAGAAAGCCUUCUCCGGGGGGCUCUUUGAUUUCUAUCAGCCAAGUUCACUAAUUUUCCUCUGUCCUAACAACAUCUGGUGCAUUUGAUGUUCCUCUAAAGUUUGCACCAUCUGUAAAUAUAAAUAGCCUGGUCUUGAUUCCAUUAGAGGCCCAUGAAUGGAACAAAGAUAUUCCAAAGUGACUGCCGUGAGGCCGUGGGCCCAACAGGACCCGGCUCCAGCUCUGGAGACAAGGAGGCCCGGUGUGUUUUCCUCCUCCCCGUGGAGCCAGACCUUACGGCUUCCUGGCCGAGGGGCUCUAACCUCUCUUGAUCCCAUCAGCAUCAUGGAACCGCCUGCCCCUGCUGAAGGGAACUUACA
rnacentral:lncRNA from 12 species